CUCCCGCGAGCGGCCCUCCUACCUUCUGCCGCGCCGCUCCGCCCCGUCACCACCACCGCACACGCCGCAUCUGCCGCGCCGGUCCGGCCCGUCACCGCCACCAACAGACUGGCAGCACGGAGCGCGCCCUCCUACCUGCUGCGAGCGACCCCGCACACGCCGCCUCUGCCGAAGACGGCGCGUAGCUCCACCUCGUCGUCUCCUGCCCUUCCGUUCCUCCGUCCCACCCAUACGACACGUGGUCGCGGCGGAAGCAGGAGGUGGAGGAGGUUUUCGCGCGCGAGCGGCGCCCGCGACCGCCACCGCGCCGCCAGGAGCGGGAACGCGUGGGCAUGAGCGUGCUGCUGGCGCGGGAGGCGUUCUACCAUUCACGGGGCCGGCGAGUGGGCAUAAAGGAGCAGUCGUCCCGGUAGGAGCGCCUGGUGUGCCGUCGCCACUGCGAGAAGCCCGUGGGGGCGCCGGCCGGCUCGGACCGGUAGAUACUCCUGUGCGCCCGCGGUGGCCGCAAGGAGUAGCUCGACGGGUACGAGCGCCGGCCCGAUGUGUCCCCCUACCGGUGCCCUGGAACUUCUACCGCGACCUCUCGCUGUGCGCGUCGCGCGCCGCUGGUGAGGACAGGUUGCUGCUCGCCGUGCACGACGCCAACGACGCGCUGCAGAGGUACCCGCGGCCCCACGCCGCGGCGGCGGACGACUGCCGAGGUUAAAGGGGCUGCCGCAGGAUGAGGGCACAGACUAAUCCUAACUUCUCAGAACUUGUACAGGAACAGGUUGUGUCUAGUUACAUUACGGACCGGGCCUAAACUGAACUGACGAUAUUCUACCUUCGCAGGACCCGGACUUAGAGGUAGUCCAAGGCAGGAACCUGGUAUCAGAGGUAGUUUAAGACAACUUUUAAAGUGCUUCGCAGUUUACAGCGGCGGCUCACCAGGUUACAGUAGACGUCGCCGAUGUCCUCUCUAAAGCACAACUACUCUCUCCUUGUUUUACAGCCAACAAGUCAUGAAGUACGUUUCUAUGUUGAUGUUAGACGUCAUGAUGAACCGCGGACGUCAGAUCUUCACUACGUGCUGGACGUAUAAACGGAUGCCUCCGUGACAUAGGUACGAGCGACAAAUGAUUUUUAAUCUGUAGCCUACGAGUAUAAAAUUAAUCUGUAGCCUACAAGUCACAUAAGAUGUUUAACUGACAUCCGCACGUUGUAACAACUUCCCGUUUCCAUGAGAUUCGACUUACUAUUUGUCCAGUGGUUGUAUGAAUCUCGAAGGAACCCAAACACGUUCUGUACAGGCCAAAGUGAUUCAGUCAAAGUGAAAGUGCUUCUGUCACCUUUACGUCUUUUUUCUUUCGUGCACCUAAAUCUUUAAAGUCGUAACAUCUCGAGUUAACUUUACCUUUUGCUCUAAAUAUCGUAGGUCGGUCCCACCACUAAGCUAAAAACUACUAACCAUGAAACCAACACUCCAGCUACUUCUGUACUCUACCUAAACCCGUCCCGUCACCCAAACGAGCGCUCCUCCACCCUUCCUGCUUCUAUCACCUUCUUGGAACUCUACUACCACGAUAAUAACUGAGUUAGGAAAUAAUCGAGAUAAACACACCUAGAAGGUCCACGUACUUACUACAACAGCCAGCCCACAGGAGAUGAUGACUUCAAAAUGGUGGUAGACCACCGCGAACUCUCGUCCCUACCGUAUGAAAGUAGUCGUCGCCGGUUUGGGGGUCGCGGCGACCACGACAUGUGGGGACAUGGGGAGCUGUAGGUCACGGAGCGCAGACGGGUCGUACUUGUGGAGGAGUUAUACAUGUAGAGACUUAAAACGGUAACGAUCUCUUUCAUCUCGUAACAAAACGACAUCGAUAUUAAACUCAAAUCUUCUAUAUGAAGAGAGAAAAACUGCAGUUAAAAAAGUCAACAGCAGAUGCAGGUCAGAGUACAGAAAGAGAAAUCGUCCCUAGUUACUCAUGAUUUGCUCGUUUUUACAGGAAGAGAAAAAGUAUAAAGAAGGAAAAGGAAUGAUGAAAACACCGAGGUUUAGAGUACUACCGAGAUACAGACAAGAAAAACAACUGUACCUAAAAUGGGACUUUUAAAAGAAGACUAGAUGUUACAAGACGGUAGAUUUAAACAGACAUAUAACACUUACUCAUCUGUAAACACGUUUUCGAGUUACCCUACUUUAAUGCCUGAUGUCUCUCCACAUUAAUAAUUAAUUAAAGAACGAAAUUUUCUAUACGUUGAUCGUCUCAAAGAAUAAUAAUAGUUAACCUAACACUGGCUUCACUUCUUGAAUACACCUGUCAGACCGUCUAAAGUCACCGUUCUAAAAACAUGUUAAUGUCACCGUCUAAAGUCUUUAAACAACUCGUGUGCUAAAUGUUCUUGUUCUAUAAGACAGUUCGGUACCUAUAGUUGUUAGUCGGUUCGUUUCUUUAUAAGUACCCUCUAUAUGUCCCUAGGUGUUCUUACACGUGGCAUACCGUGAUGGGAAAACAGUAGCUCGGUGAUAGUGUAAAACCAGUCGUUAGUUAAGUUAGUUAAGAGUCACGUUAAUCAGUCUUCAACCUUAAAUGUAGAUUUGCUUGUCAUGUAUGUAGUUCGUUGUCUUCUUUCUCACCAGUAGAGAAAAAGAACCGUGGUUCUACGGUAUAUUCGUAAGUCUGAAGCCUUAGCGUGUUCGUCAAACAUAUAUUUACUACACGGUAUAGCAAAAUUGUACCUGUGAAGUUUUCUUGUAGACGGUUCUCACCAGCGACUAGUGAUACUAAUAUCAUCAGGAUUUCUCAAACGGAGACGCAAAGACAAGUGUACAUGAGG
rnacentral:rRNA from 1 species